UAGAGCCUUCAUUCCAGCUCCGAUUUCUGCAGCGGGAACAUGAGAACCUGCGUAGCCAUCGCUGUCCUGGUCUUCUUCCCAUCGUAUGUUUACUCCCAGAUCAAGUUGGAGGAAUCUGACGGGGGAGUCAAGAGACCAGGGGAGACCUUCAGACUGACCUGCACUGUGUCCGGGUUUUCAGUCACUGAUUACGGGGUGAACUGGGUCAGGCAGCCAGCUGGAAAAUCCCCCCAGUGGAUGGGGGUACUUUGGGGUGGAGGGAGCACGGACUAUAAUUCAGCUCUUGGAGGCCGGAUCAGCAUCACCCGAGAGCCAGCAAAAAGUCAAGUGUACCUGCAAGUGAACAGCGCGGGAGAGGCGGACAGUGCAAUCUAUUACUGUGCCAUGAGAUACGCCAGUGGAGCACAGUAA